UACGUAGGGGGCUAGCGUUGUCCGGAAUCAUUGGGCGUAAAGAGCGUGUAGGCGGCCCGGUAAGUCCGCUGUGAAAGUCGGGGGCUCAACCCUCGAAUGCCGGUGGAUACUGUCGGGCUAGAGUGCGGAAGAGGCGAGUGGAAUUCCUGGUGUAGCGGUGGAAUGCGCAGAUAUCAGGAGGAACACCGAUGGCGAAGGCAGGUCACUGGGCCGCAACUGACGCUGAGGAGCGAAAGCAUGGGGAGCGAACAGG
rnacentral:rRNA from 1 species